rnacentral:rRNA from 1 species
GUGAAAAUGCAGGGCCUAACUCUGCAAAUGCGCUGGAAACUGGUGGGCUUGAGUUCUUGAGGGGAAGCUGGAAUUCCAGGUGUAGGGGUGAAAUCUGUAGAUAUCUGGAAGAACACCGGUGGCGAAGGCGAGCUUCUAUCAGAGGACUGACGCUGAGGCGCGAAAGCGUGGGGAGCAAACAGGAUUAGAUACCCUGGUAGUCCACGCUGUAAACGAUGUGCACUAGGCGUGGGGCCCGUACGGGUUCUGUGCCGUAUUUAACGUGUUAAGUGCACCGCCUGGGGAGUAUGCUCGCAAGGGUGAAACUCAAAGGAAUUGACGGGGGCCCGCACAAGCGGUGGAGCAUGUGGU